rnacentral:rRNA from 1 species
GAGACAAACAACUGCGAAAGCAUUUGCCUAAAAUACUUCCAUUAAUCAAGAACGAAAGUUAAGGGAGUGAAGACGAUCAGAUACCGUCGUAAUCUUAACCAUAAACUAUGCCGACUAGGUGUUGGAUGAUAGAGUAAAAAAUAAAAGAGACAUUCAUAUAUUAUGAGUGUUUCUUUUAGAUAGCUUCCUUCAGUACCUUAUGAGAAAUCAAAGUCUUUGGGUUCUGGGGCGAGUAUUCGCGCAAGCGAGAAAGUUAAAAGAAUUGACGGAAGGGCACCACCAGGCGUGGAGCUUGCG